GAAAAGGAGCACAGCAUUCUCUCCCUCCAGGAGAGGUUCAUGUUGGGAGACAAACCGGUGUUAUGAAACGCUGUCUCAUCCCUGACACCGUCACACAGGACUCUACAAGUGACGGCAAGAACAAGUACUGAGAUCACUCUUCAGAGAACUCUUUGUUGGGAUGUCUUAGGUCAAUCAGUCUAGUGGGAGGAACAUAUCACAGUCCUUAUUCUUCUAUAUAACAGGGCCUCCGACAUCACAUCGGCAGCUGAGGGGAUUGUGGUUCCCGUGUUGGCGGACUCUCCAAAAGUUGUAAUGGUGGCCUUGAGGACACAUUUGAUAUACAUCGUUGAGGUGGUGACUCGUGCUGUCUAGUGUGGACAUCCGGACUGUGUCUUUUGUGGGCCAUGUGUUUUUGCGUGGACGAUUCCUGUGGAUGCCUCCUUCUGUGAAUGUGCCGUUGUGUGGAUGUUCCUAUACAAUAAAAAACAUUAAUGUUUUGCCAAAA